GAAAUGCGAUACGUCAUGCGAAUUGCAAAAACCAGUGAGUCAUCAAAAUUUUGAACGCACCUUGCACUUCCCUCUGGGGAGUAUGUCUGUUGGAGUGUCUGUUCAUCCCUACGACGCAUUUCUUCGGAAAUUGUGUUCGCGUCGGUUUUGUGAGUUAUUUCACAAGCACCAAGAUGAAACAACACUAGUCGAAGUCAUCUCAUUUCUGAGGUGACGUUUCGACGCGACGUCCUAGUUUUUCGGAACUUCGUCUCGCGUUAAUACGUUACUUUAUUCCAAAAGAAGCGAGAAUCGAUCUUUGUACGAUCCGAUCGGACCUCCAAUCAGGCAAGAAUACCCGCUGAAUUUAA
rnacentral:misc_RNA from 1 species